UCCGAAUUGGUGUAGGGGUCAACAUUGCCGCUUCUCAGUCUUACGUCAUGAUGAAGCACGGCGUAAUCAUUAGCGCGGCAGCCCGGGGUUCGAUUCCCCGAUUCGGAA